UACAGAGGGGGCAAGCGUUAUUCGGAAUUAUUGGGCGUAAAGGGCGCGUAGGCGGCUUUUCAAGUGACGGGUGAAAUCCCUCGGCUUAACCGAGGAACUGCCUGUCAGACUGGAAGGCUUGAGACCGGGAGAGGUGAGUGGAAUUCCCAGUGUAGCGGUGAAAUGCGUAGAUAUUGGGAGGAACACCAGUGGCGAAGGCGGCUCACUGGACCGGUACUGACGCUGAUGCGCGAAAGCGUAGGGAGCAAACGGG
rnacentral:rRNA from 1 species